UGGGAAGUCGUCUAACGGUAGGACCGCAGUUUCUGGAACUGCUUAUCUAGGUUCGAUUCCUAGCUUCCCAG
rnacentral:tRNA from 1 species